rnacentral:lncRNA from 1 species
CUUUCUCUACUCGCCCGGAGUCCGCCUGGCGCGCGCAGUACCAGCGGCUCCCGGCGCUCUCGGCCGCCGGGACACUCUCCGCCCCGGACGCCGUCUCGGGCCUGAGAACAGGUGGCCUCGGAGAGGAGCGCGCCGACAGUCGCCUCUCACUCACCCAGAAGAUGAAGUUAAAUCCGAAGAGCAGGGUGAAGAGGCCCUUCUCAAUAUCCUUUACAGUUUUCUCUUCCUCACCCCUGCAGGAAGUUUCCUUAGCAUUCUUCAUUGCAAAAGCAAACCGUACUUAUUACAGAAACAUCAGAAAAUAUCAGAAAGCAAAAAGAAUAUCUCAUUAAGGAGCCCAGAGUCUUUGAUUCUAGAUCCUCUUGCCUUAUCCUUUUGAGAAUUGGAUUUCCUUCCUUCCUUCCUUCCUUCCGCAUCAGCUCCUACUUCCUAACCUGCUUGAGUUCCAGUCCUGACUUCCUUUGGUGAUAAACAGCAGUGUGGAAUUGUAAGCUGAAUAAACCCUUUCCUCCCCAA